UAAAUUUGAAAGCAGAAAUCAGCUUUCUGCAGAUGUGUGUCUAAUUCAGUUCUUGUUUCUGUAACCUAGUUUGAAGGAAGAAAGACUUCCAAAAGAAUCAACCAAGUCUACUGAGGCACAGUUUGACUCAAAAGGAUCCAACUGCUUAGCAAAUGGAAAAUAACACUGUGGACAGACAACCAGAUACAAGCCAACCAAAGCUGCCUUCAAAGGGAAGACACCUAGGGAGGGAAGAUGAUGCUGAUUAAGAAAUAGCCUUGA
rnacentral:lncRNA from 1 species